GUCGNNCGGCAGCACGGAGCUUGCUCUGGUGGCGAGUGGCGAACGGGUGAGUAAUGCGUCGGAACGUAUCCAAUAAUGGGGGAUAACGCAGCGAAAGCUGUGCUAAUACCGCAUACGCCCUCCGGGGGAAAGCAGGGGAUCGUAAGACCUUGCGUUAAUGGAGCGGCCGACGUCUGAUUAGCUAGUUGGUAGGGUAAAGGCCUACCAAGGCGACGAUCAGUAGCUGGUCUGAGAGGGUGAUCAGCCACACUGGGACUGAGACACGGCCCAGACUCCUACGGGAGGCAGCAGUGGGGAAUUUUGGACAAUGGGCGCAAGCCUGAUCCAGCCAUUCCGCGUGAGUGAAGAAGGCCUUCGGGUUGUAAAGCUCUUUCAGGAGGGAAGAAACGAUUGUGGCUAAUACCCAUGAUUAAUGACGGUACCUUCAGAAGAAGCACCGGCUAACUACGUGCCAGCAGCCGCGGUAAUACGUAGGGUGCGAGCGUUAAUCGGAAUUACUGGGCGUAAAGCGUGCGCAGGCGGUUUUUCAAGUCUGAUGUGAAAUCCCCGGGCUUAACCUGGGAACUGCGUUGGAAACUGAAAGACUAGAGUGCGGCAGAGGGGGGUAGAAUUCCACGUGUAGCAGUGAAAUGCGUAGAUAUGUGGAGGAAUACCGAUGGCGAAGGCAGCCCCCUGGGUCGACACUGACGCUCAUGCACGAAAGCGUGGGUAGCAAACAGGAUUAGAUACCCUGGUAGUCCACGCCCUAAACGAUGUCAACUAGUUGUUGGGGAGGGAGACCCCCUUAGUAACGCAGCUAACGCGUGAAGUUGACCGCCUGGGGAGUACGGUCGCAAGAUUAAAACUCAAGGAAUUGACGGGGGCCCGCACAAGCGGUGGAUUAUGUGGAUUANUUCGAUGCAACGCGAAAAACCUUANCUACCCNUGA
rnacentral:rRNA from 1 species